rnacentral:rRNA from 1 species
UACGGAGGGUGCAAGCGUUAUCCGGAUUCACUGGGUUUAAAGGGAGCGCAGGCGGGCUGGUAAGUCAGUGGUGAAAGCCUUGAGCUUAACUCGAGAACUGCCAUUGAUACUAUCAGUCUUGAAUAUUGUUGAGGUUUGCGGAAUGGGUCAUGUAGCGGUGAAAUGCAUAGAUAUGACCCGGAACACCUAUUGCGAAGGCAGCAGGCUAAACAAAGAUUGACGCUGAGGCUCGAAAGCGUGGGGAGUCAAACAGGA